rnacentral:piRNA from 1 species
CUGGAAUUACAAGCCUAAGCCACCACACUU